AUGGGGUCAGUUAAGGACAGUGGUAUCAGCCAGCGACAGUGGGGUCAGGCAGGGAAAUGGGAUCAGGGACAGUGGGAUCAGUCAGGAACAGUGGGGUCAGGCAGGGAAAUGGGAUCAGGAACACUGGGAUCAGACAGGAAAAGGGGGAUCAGGGACAGUGGGAUCAGACAGGAACAGUGGGAUCAGGGACACUGGGAUCAGGAACAAUGGGAUCAGUUUAGGACAGUGGGAUCAGUUCAGGACAGAGGGAUCAGUUCAGGACAGUGGGAUCAGUUUAGGACAGUGGGAUCAAUUCAGGACAGUGGGGUCAGGAACAGUGGGAUCAGGAACACUGGGAUCAGUUCAGGACAGUGGGAUCAGUUCAGGACAGUGGGAUCAGCUCAGGACAGAGGGAUCAGUUCAGGACAGUGGGAUCAGUUUAGGACAGAGGGAUCAGUUCAGGACAGAGGGAUCAGCCAGGGAGAAGGGGUUAAGCUCAUCUCAGCAUUCCAGCGACCGCAGGGCCUGAUUAAACACAGAAUUCUCCGCCUCUUCCGAGGGCUUUUUUUUUUUUUUUUUUUUUUUCCAAAAUUCCAAAUUUUUUUUCCCCCCCCCCCCCCCCCCCCCCCCCCCCCCCCCCCCCCCCCCCCCCCCCCCCCCCCCCCCCCCCCCCCCCCCCCCCCCCCCCCCCCCCCCCCCCCCCCCCCCCCCCCCCCCCCCCCCCCCCCCCCCCCCCCCCCCCCCCCCCCCGGGUUUUUUUUUUUUUUUUUUUUUUUUCCACAAUUCCCAAUUUCUUUUCCCCACUUCCAGCCAUCCAAGGAAACAGACAGGCCCUGGCGGCCGCGCAGGAGGGAUUUUGGGACGAAGCCCAAAGCCCAAAGCCCCAUCAGCCCCAGCCCCUCUCACUUGAGGCGGUGCAGGUCGGCGUGGGGGGCGUAGAGGCCGCGCUCGAAGCGUUCGCGCAGCACCGACCACCUGGUGGCACAGUAAUCCUGCAGGAAACAGAAAAUUGGGCAUCUCUUAAGGAAAAGCUUUGCUGUGGGACUCUGGGAACAAAAUCCUUCUGGAGAGAUGUCUUAAAAAGCUUUGCUGUGGGACUCUGGGAACAAAAUCCUUGUGGAGAGAUGUCUUAAGUAAAGGAAUUUAUCCCUUUUUUUUUUUUUCACCUGUGCAGCUUUAGUGAAUUUAGGAUUUCUUAUGGAACAUGAGGUCCCUUAAGGAAAAGCUUUGCUGGGGGACUUUAGGAACAAAAUCCCCGUAGAGAGAGAUGUCUUAAAGAAGGGAAUUUAUCCCUGAUUUUCACUUUUGUAGCUUUAGUAAAUUUAGGAAUUUGGGAUUUCUUAAGGAAAAGUUUUGCUGGGGGACUUUGGGAUUAAAAUCCUUGUGGAUGUUAUAAAUAAGAAAUUGAUCUGUCUUUUUAACCUGUGCAGCUUCAGUGAAUUUAGGAAUUCAGGAUCCCUUAAGGCAAAGUUUUGUUGCAGGACUUUGGGAACAAAAUCUUUGUGGAGAGAUGCUGUAAAUUAAGAAUUGAUCCCCAUUUUUUCACCUGUGCAGCUUUGGUGAAUUGGGAUCUCUUAUGGAAUUUGGGAUCUCUGACAGAAUUCGGGAUCUCUUAAGGAAAAGUUUUGCUGUGGGACUUUAGGAACAAAAUCCUUGUGGAGGUUCUAAAUUAGGGAUUUAUCCCCAUUUUUUCACCUGUGCAGCUUUAGAGAAUUGGGAUCUCUUAGGGAAUUUGGGAUCUCUGACAGAAUUCGAGAUCCCUUAAGGCAAUGUUUUACUGCAGGACUUUGGGGACACAAUCCUUGUGGAGAGAAGCUGUAAGUGAGGAAUUGAUGCCCAUUUUCUCACCUGUGCAGCUUUGGGGACAGGAGAGAGCUGAGAAAGGGGCUGGGGACAGGAGAGAGCUGAGAAAGGGGCUGGGGACAGGAGAGAGCUGAGAAAGGGGCUGGGGACAGGAGAGAGCUGAGAAAGGGGCUGGGGACAGGAGAGAGCUGAGAAAGGGGCUGGGGACAGGAGAGAGCUGAGAAAGGGGCUGGGGACAGGAGAGAGCUGAGAAAGGGGCUGGGGACAGGAGAGAGCUGAGAAAGGGGCUGGGGACAGGAGAGAGCUGAGAAAGGGGCUGGGGACAGGAGAGAGCUGAGAAAGGGGCUGGGGACAGGAGAGAGCUGAGAAAGGGGCUGGGGACAGGAGAGAGCUGAGAAAGGGGCUGGGGACAGGAGAGAGCUGAGAAAGGGGCUGGGGACAGGAGAGAGCUGAGAAAGGGGCUGGGGACAGGAGAGAGCUGAGAAAGGGGCUGGGGACAGGAGAGAGCUGAGAAAGGGGCUGGGGACAGGAGAGAGCUGAGAAAGGGGCUGGGGACAGGAGAGAGCUGAGAAAGGGGCUGGGGACAGGAGAGAGCUGAGAAAGGGGCUGGGGACAGGAGAGAGCUGAGAAAGGGGCUGGGGACAGGAGAGAGCUGAGAAAGGGGCUGGGGACAGGAGAGAGCUGAGAAAGGGGCUGGGGACAGGAGAGAGCUGAGAAAGGGGCUGGGGACAGGAGAGAGCUGAGAAAGGGGCUGGGGACAGGAGAGAGCUGAGAAAGGGGCUGGGGACAGGAGAGAGCUGAGAAAGGGGCUGGGGACAGGAGAGAGCUGAGAAAGGGGCUGGGGACAGGAGAGAGCUGAGAAAGGGGCUGGGGACAGGAGAGAGCUGAGAAAGGGGCUGGGGACAGGAGAGAGCUGAGAAAGGGGCUGGGGACAGGAGAGAGCUGAGAAAGGGGCUGGGGACAGGAGAGAGCUGAGAAAGGGGCUGGGGACAGGAGAGAGCUGAGAAAGGGGCUGGGGACAGGAGAGAGCUGAGAAAGGGGCUGGGGACAGGAGAGAGCUGAGAAAGGGGCUGGGGACAGGAGAGAGCUGAGAAAGGGGCUGGGGACAGGAGAGAGCUGAGAAAGGGGCUGGGGACAGGAGAGAGCUGAGAAAGGGGCUGGGGACAGGAGAGAGCUGAGAAAGGGGCUGGGGACAGGAGAGAGCUGAGAAAGGGGCUGGGGACAGGAGAGAGCUGAGAAAGGGGCUGGGGACAGGAGAGAGCUGAGAAAGGGGCUGGGGACAGGAGAGAGCUGAGAAAGGGGCUGGGGACAGGAGAGAGCUGAGAAAGGGGCUGGGGACAGGAGAGAGCUGAGAAAGGGGCUGGGGACAGGAGAGAGCUGAGAAAGGGGCUGGGGACAGGAGAGAGCUGAGAAAGGGGCUGGGGACAGGAGAGAGCUGAGAAAGGGGCUGGGGACAGGAGAGAGCUGAGAAAGGGGCUGGGGACAGGAGAGAGCUGAGAAAGGGGCUGGGGACAGGAGAGAGCUGAGAAAGGGGCUGGGGACAGGAGAGAGCUGAGAAAGGGGCUGGGGACAGGAGAGAGCUGAGAAAGGGGCUGGGGACAGGAGAGAGCUGAGAAAGGGGCUGGGGACAGGAGAGAGCUGAGAAAGGGGCUGGGGACAGGAGAGAGCUGAGAAAGGGGCUGGGGACAGGAGAGAGCUGAGAAAGGGGCUGGGGACAGGAGAGAGCUGAGAAAGGGGCUGGGGACAGGAGAGAGCUGAGAAAGGGGCUGGGGACAGGAGAGAGCUGAGAAAGGGGCUGGGGACAGGAGAGAGCUGAGAAAGGGGCUGGGGACAGGAGAGAGCUGAGAAAGGGGCUGGGGACAGGAGAGAGCUGAGAAAGGGGCUGGGGACAGGAGAGAGCUGAGAAAGGGGCUGGGGACAGGAGAGAGCUGAGAAAGGGGCUGGGGACAGGAGAGAGCUGAGAAAGGGGCUGGGGACAGGAGAGAGCUGAGAAAGGGCUGGGAGCCCUGCAGCCUGGGGGAGGGACAGUCAGAAAGGGCCUGGGGACAGGGAGAGAAAUGUCCUGGGGACAGGAACAGGGACAUGACCAUUCCCAUCUUUCCAGGUCCAUUCCCACCUUUCCCGCAUCAUCCCCACCUCUCCAUGACCAUCCCCACCUCUCCAUGACCAUCCCCACCUUCCCAUGGUCACUCCCAGUUUUCCAGUAAUAUUCCCACAGGACAGUGGGAUUAGCCAGGGAAAUGGGGUCGGUUUAGGGCAGUGGGACCAGUUCAGGACAGCGGGAUCAGUUUAGGAUAGUCGGAUCAGUUUAGGACAGUGGGAUCAGUUAAGGACAGUGG
ensembl:lncRNA